GGAAUAUUGGACAAUGGGCGCAAGCCUGAUCCAGCCAUCCCGCGUGAAGGAUGAAGGCCCUCUGGGUCGUAAACUUCUUUUAUCUGGGAAUAAAAACUCGUAUUUAUAUGAGCUUGAAGGUACCAGAGGAAUAAGCACCGGCUAACUCCGUGCCAGCAGCCGCGGUAAUACGGAGGGUGCAAGCGUUAUCCGGAUUCACUGGGUUUAAAGGGUGCGUAGGUGGCUUUGUAAGUCAGUGGUGAAAGCCCGG
rnacentral:rRNA from 1 species